rnacentral:rRNA from 1 species
GGCACCCUGAUCCAGCCAUGCCGCGUGUGUGAAGAAGGCCCUCGGGUUGUAAAGCACUUUCAGCGAGGAAGAACGCCUAGUGGUUAAUACCCGUUAGGAAAGACAUCACUCGCAGAAGAAGCACCGGCUAACUCCGUGCCAGCAGCCGCGGUAAUACGGAGGGUGCAAGCGUUAAUCGGAAUUACUGGGCGUAAAGCGCGCGUAGGUGGCUUGAUAAGCCGGUUGUGAAAGCCCCGGGCUCAACCUGGGAACGGCAUCCGGAACUGUCAGGCUAGAGUGCAGGAGAGGAAGGUAGAAUUCCCGGUGUAGCGGUGAAAUGCGUAGAGAUCGGGAGGAAUACCAGUGGCGAAGGCGGCCUUCUGGACUGACACUGACACUGAGGUGCGAAAGCGUGGGUAGCAAACAGGAUUAGAUACCCUGGUAGUCCACGCCGUAAACGAUGUCGACCAGCCGUUGGGUGCCUAGAGCACUUUGUGGCGAAGUUAACGCGAUAAGUCGACCGCCUGGGGAGUACGGCCGCAAGGUUAAAACUCAAAUGAAUUGACGGGGGCCCGCACAAGCGGUGGAGCAUGUGGUUUAAUUCGAUGCAACGCGAAGAACCUUACCUACCCUUGACAUCUACAGAAGCCGGAAGAGAUUCUGGUGUGCCUUCGGGAACUGUAAGACAGGUGCUGCAUGGCUGUCGUCAGCUCGUGUUGUGAAAUGUUGGGUUAAGUCCCGUAACGAGCGCAACCCUUGUCCUUAUUUGCCAGCACGUAAUGGUGGGAACUCUAAGGAGACUGCCGGUGACAAACCGGAGGAAGGUGGGGACGACGUCAAGUCAUCAUGGCCCUUACGGGUAGGGCUACACACGUGCUACAAUGGCCGGUACAAAGGGCUGCGAGCUCGCGAGAGUCAGCGAAUCCCUUAAAGCCGGUCUCA